rnacentral:rRNA from 1 species
GGCACGGGUGCGUAACGCGUAUACAAUCUGCCUUUCACAUAGGGAUAGCCCGAAGAAAUUUGGAUUAAUACCUAAUGGUAUAUAAGAGCGGCAUCGUUUUUAUAUUAGAGCUACGGUGGUGAAAGAUGAGUAUGCGUUCUAUUAGCUAGUUGGAGAGGUAACGGCUCCCCAAGGCGACGAUAGAUAGGGGUUCUGAGAGGGAUGUCCCCCACACUGGUACUGAGAUACGGACCAG